rnacentral:rRNA from 1 species
CAAUAGCGUAUAUUUAAGUUGCUGCAGUUAAAAAGCUCGUAGUUGGAUUUCGGGUGGGAAUGGCCGGUCCGCCGUUUCGGUGUGCACUUGCUACGCCCACCUUGCUGCCGGGGACGUGCUCUUGAGUUCACGCUCGGGACACGGAGUCGGCGAGGUUACUUUGAGUAAAUUAGAGUGUUCAAAGCAGGCCUACGCUCUGAAUACAUUAGCAUGGAAUAACACGAUAGGACUCUGGCCUAUCUUGUUGGUCUGUAGGACCGGAGUAAUGAUUCAGAGGGACAGUCGGGGGCAUUCGUAUUUCAUUGUCAGAGGUGAAAUUCUUGGAUUUAUGAAAGACGAACUACUGCGAAAGCAUUUGCCAAGGAUGUUUUCAUUAA